rnacentral:rRNA from 1 species
GAUGAACGCUGGCGGCGUGCCUAAUACAUGCAAGUCGAGCGAACGGACGAGAAGCUUGCUUUUCUGAUGUUAGCGGCGGACGGGUGAGUAACACGUGGAUAACCUACCUAUAAGACUGGGAUAACUUCGGGAAACCGGAGCUAAUACCGGAUAAUAUUUUGAACCGCAUGGUUCAAAAGUGAAAGACGGUCUUGCUGUCACUUAUAGAUGGAUCCGCGCUGCAUUAGCUAGUUGGUAAGGUAACGGCUUACCAAGGCAACGAUGCAUAGCCGACCUGAGAGGGUGAUCGGCCACACUGGAACUGAGACACGGUCCAGACUCCUACGGGAGGCAGCAGUAGGGAAUCUUCCGCAAAGGGCGAAAGCCUGACGGAGCAACGCCGCGUGAGUGAUGAAGGUCCUCGGAUCGUAAAACUCUGUUAUUAGGGAAGAACAUAUGUGUAAGUAACUGUGCACAUCUUGACGGUACCUAAUCAGAAAGCCACGGCUAACUACGUG